ensembl:lncRNA
UGCUUACAACUCCUCCGUCAGCUCUCCCAGCUGGGUGUGAUGCGGGCUGCUCGACAGAGAGACGGUGAUCUCCAGCGUUCCGCUCCCGACACGAGCGCCGUGCGCUGAGCAUCUGUCCGGCCGUUAGAGACCAUCGGUGCUCCGUUAUUGGAUUUCUGAUCUCCAGGUUUUGUCCGGGGGUUUAGCAGACUGUAUGAGUGUUUAUAAUUUCUAAUGAGUUUAAUCUGUAAUUACCUGUGACUGUCAAAUCACUUUCCCAGUCUUUGGUCUGGAAAAAUUGAAAAUACAGGAACGUGGGCUUCUAAAUAACCAAAAAUAUUUGUCACGUCUUUCACAUACAAAUAUACGUGCAGUAACCAGAACUGUACAUCCUUAUUCUGUUUGAAGAUCAAGAACGGUUUUAAUCCCGCAGAUCUGCUGCAAUCACAAUAUAUUAUCUAAAUCCAAGUUUCUUUGAGGACUUUUUGGAUAUAUGUCAACAUUCAAUAGAGAUAAAAUAGUGUAUGUUUUAGGCUACUGCACGGCUGAUUAUUGCUGCCUGAUUAGUAUUUGAUCAAAUCCCAUCCUUUUAUUUUCCUGAGACGAUUCAGCUCCUGCACAGCAGAGGAGAGCCGCCUCAUUCCGUCUGACAAGUGUUGUGCUGCGCAGCGCUCCAUCACGUCCGUGUAAACAUCCAUCUGCUCGCUGUAUGGGCUCUGCAAGCAGAACAGUUUUAAUUUAUCAUAAACUUCAUAUAACUCAUUAGCUUUCAUCUUUACGCCGCGUGUAUAGAAAUGAAUUUGGAGUGUACUCACAGGGGUUUUUCUGAGGAGUUUGCUGUACAAAUAUUUAUGGACUUUUCCCUUUGUAGUGCAGGCUGUGGUGGAACAGCUCUGCCAUCAGCGGCUUGGGCUGCGGGAGAGGCUUUGCCAAAAGCCCUCGUUUAUUUACCGCGUGGCACUUUGUAUUGAAAUUUGUUUUGCUGCUAUGUGUAAAAAUCCACGGCUCUCCUGGGAGGAGAUGAGAGUUCUCCUGUACUCCAGUAAAAGGGGGAAAAAGCCUCCCAG